CCUACCCCAUGAGUACGCCGGUGAUAAAGGAACUUGGUAAGGUUGACAAAGGUCUUCCCACAUGGACAUGAAUGCAGAGGAUUCGGGGUGUGGGCUCGCCGGUGGGCCAGGAGGAGGGCCUCUGUGCCGAAGGCCAGGCCACAGUCUACACACAGGAAGUGUGACUCGCUGCUAUGGUCUCCAAGGUGCUGGUCCAGACUGGAAGGGCUAGGGAAGACACGACUG
rnacentral:lncRNA from 1 species